AACGAACGCUGGCGGCAUGCCUAACACAUGCAAGUCGAACGAGACCUUCGGGUCUAGUGGCGCACGGGUGCGUAACGCGUGGGAACCUGCCCUUAGGUUCGGAAUAACUCCCCGAAAGGGGUGCUAAUACCGGAUAAUGUCUUCGGACCAAAGAUUUAUCGCCUUUGGAUGGGCCCGCGUUGGAUUAGCUAGUUGGUAGGGUAAAAGCCUACCAAGGCGAAGAUCCAUAGCUGGUCUGAGAGGAUGAUCAGCCACACUGGGACUGAGACACGGCCCAGACUCCUACGGGAGGCAGCAGUGGGGAAUAUUGGACAAUGGGCGAAAGCAUGAUCCAGCAAUGCCGCGUGAGUGAUGAAGGCCUUAGGGUUGUAAAGCUCUUUUACCCGGGAUGAUAAUGACAGUACCGGGAGAAUAAGCUCCGGCUAACUCCGUG
rnacentral:rRNA from 1 species